ACCAUAGCCAAGUGGUAAGGCAACGGUCUGCAAAACCGUUAUUCCCCGGUUCAAAUCCGGGUG
rnacentral:tRNA from 1 species